rnacentral:rRNA from 1 species
GACGGAGGGUGCUAGCGUUGUUCGGAAUCACUGGGCGUAAAGGGCGCGUAGGCGGCCUUGCAAGUCGGUUGGUUAAAGCCCGGGGCUCAACCCCGGAGGUGCGGCCGAGACUGCAGGGCUGGAGGCCGGAAGAGGAGGGUGGAAUACCCAGUGUAGAGGUGAAAUUCGUAGAUAUUGGGUGGAACACCGGUGGCGAAAGCGGCUCUCUGGUCCGGACCUGACGCUGAGGCGCGAAAGCGUGGGGAGCAAACAGG